AAUCAACGCUGGCGGCGUGCCUCAGACAUGCAAGUCGAACGCGAAAGUCCCCUUCGGGGGACAAGUAGAGUGGCGCACGGGUGAGUAACACGUAGGUAAUCUACCUUCGGAUGGGGAAUAACAACCGGAAACGGUUGCUAAUACCGCAUAAUGCAGCGGCACCUAAUGGUGACAGUUGUUAAAGCGGGGGAUCGUAAGACCUCGCGUCUGAAGAGGAGCCUGCGGCGGAUUAGCUAGNGGUAGGGUAACGGCCUACCAAGGCGACGAUCCGUAGCCGGCCUGAGAGGGCGGUCGGCCACACUGACACUGACAUACGGGUCAGACUCCUACGGGAGGCAGCAGUCGGGAAUUUUGGGCAAUGGGCGAAAGCCUGACCCAGCCAUGCCGCGU
rnacentral:rRNA from 1 species